GUAGUCUCGUACAGGGGAAGCUAACGAGAUUUGGUUGAACGAGACUACAUUAAUGUUUUUUCUGUUCUUUAAAUUUUUGUCAACCUUUAUUUUCGUGUGGAAUUUCUUUCCACAAAUUUUCUUCACACGCAAAAAAUGGAUAUAUAUCCAUUCUGUUUGUCAAGUUUAAUGUAUUUUAAUAUUUAUCUAUCCAUCUAUUUUCCUUUAUGUAUGUGUGUGGACGGACGGAUGAAAGGAAAGUUGAAUUUUGUUUCUAUGAUAAAACUUUCAUAUUAUUUCAUGUUUUACAGGCUAGGCCAAGAAACUCCAUAAAGGUUAAUAGAACUGUGAUGUAGGCCAACGUCUUCUCGUCCUUGGUCAUCGAACUUCCGAGGAAAGACACCUUUCAACGCUAGGCCAAGAAACUCCAUAAAGGUUAAUAGAACUGUGAUGUAGGCCAACGUCUUCUCGUCCUUGGUCAUCGAACUUCCGAGGAAAGACACCUUUCAACGCUAGGCCAAGAAACUCCAUAAAGGUUAAUAGAACUGUGAUGUAGGCCAACGUCUUCUCGUCCUUGGUCAUCGAACUUCCGAGGAAAGACACCUUUCAACGCUAGGCCAAGAAACUCCAUAAAGGUUAAUAGAACUGUGAUGUAGGCCAACGUCUUCUCGUCCUUGGUCAUCGAACUUCCGAGGAAAGACACCUUUCAACGUGCGUAGUAUGUUUUAAUGUCAAUAUUACAGUAGUCACGUUUUCCGUUACAUCUUCGGUUAUUAAAAAUCCCUGACCUACUUAUUGGUCUUCAAAAUUUCCCCUGAUAACAUAUAUAUAUCAGAGGACUGACUAAUUCAAUACGCGAACGAAAAAUGGGUUACGCAACACUAGAUUUGCGUGAGUGAGGCACGAAAGAAACGAUCGUUCUCGUAAAUUUCAGAGGACUAACUAAUUCAAUUAUGUCAGAGGGCCUGCGAAGAUACAUGACGAUUAUCAAUCGGCCAUUAGCCUCAAUACCGCAUCUCUGCGUAAAAUGGACACCAAAUUUAGUUAAUCCACAAACCUGCAACACAUAUUUGGAUAUGGUUAUAACAGAGAGAAGCUAAAAUCUGAGAUGUUUAAACAGGA